AGCUGAAUGUCAUCACUGGAAAGAGCAGGCAGUAUUGGCAGCAGGCAGGCUGCUAGUUUGCAUGGAGAUCACAAAGUCUUUUUUUCCUGAGUAUUCUGGGAGAAAAGCAAGAAUAGCUCAGAAAACCUGGUGUCAUUCCUCCCCUGGAAUGAAUGACUGGAAGGAAUGAGGGUGUUACACAUGAGGCAGAUCGCAAGUGCAAAAGAUGCAUCUGUGCUCAAUGCAAACCUAACACAAUUCCUGUCACAUUGUAUCUAAAAGGACUGCAUAGCUACAACUAAUAAGAGAGCAACAGCAAGGCAAAGUAAAGAAGGAGAGGCACAGACUGCGGCUGCAUACAACUGUCUGUAUAUAAAUUCAUUAUGUGAAUCUAAUGUUUUUGUGGAAGAUGCUAUGUAAGAACAUGAGAACGGCCAUACUGCGUCAGACCAAAGGUCCAUCUAGCCCAGUAUCCAGUCUACCAACAAUGGGCAAUGCCAGGUGCCCCAGAGGGAAUGAACAGAACAGCAUAGAUCUUCAGGGAAGAGCCACAAGAAUGAUUAAAGGAUUGGAAAAUAUGCCUUUGGUGAAGAACUAAAUUGACUGAGCUUCUUGAAUCUAUCAAAGGAGAUUAAGUGGUGAUUUGAUCAGCCUAUAUAAAUACACACAUGGAGAACAGAAAUUUGAUAAUACACGGCUCUUCAGUCUAGUAGACAAAAGGUGUACUCCCCAUCCUACAAGGCUUGCAUCUGUUAUGAGAAUUCUGGUUCAGUUGCAGCUGAAGACUCCAUUAUGACAAGACUCCUUUUGGUUCAACAGUGAGAAGUAUAGUACUGCUGCUAUUUCUUCCUACUUUUCCUGAAGACUUUAGAUCCUAUCAACUAUGAAGAGCACACAAAAAAAAGUUCAGUCUUAACUAAACUGGUGCCUGGCAACUGAGUUGGCGGAAAAGUUCUCAUAGCAAAACACCUUAGGAAUCUACUAUUCAAGAAGUGGACAUGAAGGACAGAGGCCAUAACAGGGACCCGAAGCAGUGCUGCGUGAAACUUAAGGAGCUGAGGCAAGCCUACCAGAAAACCAGAGAGGCGAACGGCUGCUCCGGGGCAGAGCCCAAAACAUGCCGCUUCUAUGAUGAGCUGCAUGCCAUUUUAGGGGGUUCAGCCACCACUACUCCAGCCGUGUUGUUUGACUCCUUCAAUGGAGAUGGGCGCAACACAGAAGCAGGUUUUGGGGACGAAGAAGAUGAUGAUGAGGUUGUAGAUAGCUCACAGCAAACAAGCAGAGAAACCGGUUUUCCCGACAGCCAGGAACUGUUUCUCACCCUGGACCUGGAGCCAGUACCCCCCGAACCCACCCAAGGCUGCCUCCCGGACCCGCCAGUCGGAGAAGGGACCUCUGCUGCAUGUGUUUCAAGGAUCACAGGAUCUCCUCCUUCCCAGAGGCUAGCAAAGAUCAGAAGGCGAAAAAACCGCACUCGCGAUGAAAUGUUCUUUGAGCUCAUGCUGUCCUCCCACACUGACAGAGCACAGACGAAUGCGUGGAGGCAGACAACGUCAGAGUGCAGGAAAGCACAAAAUGACCAGGAGGAGAGGUGGAGGGCUGAAGAGAGGGCUGAAGCUGAAAGGUGACGGCAGCGUGAUGAGAGGAGGCAGGAUUCAAUGCUGAGGCUGCUGGAGGAUCAAACUAAUAUGUGCUCCAGCGUAUGGCUGAGCUGCAGGAAAGGCAGCUGGAGAACAGACUACCUCUACAGCCCCUGUGUAACCAACCGCCAUCCUCCCCAAGUUCCAUAGCCUCUUCAGCCAGACGCCCAAGAACACGGUGGGGGGGGCUCCUGCCAUCCAGCCACUCCACCCCAGAGGAUUGCCCAAGCAACAGAAGGCUGGUAUUCAAUAAGUUUUAAAGUUUUAAACUUUUAAAGUGCUGUGUGGCCUUGUCCCUCCCUCCUCCCCCACCCCUCCUGGGCUACC